UGAUUACAAACUAAGAUAAGAUUCAGUAUUAAUCUAGCUACAAAUUACUCAAAAUGGAAUAAAACAACUGUUCACGUGCUCUGGGAUCUAACAUAUUACAAAAGAUAACCUAAAAAUGUAAAAAGAAAGUAUUUAUAUUAGGCCAAAUUUUUUGGACAAAAAUACCCCUGCAGAGGUACCGCGGACCGCGAAAAAUGUAUCGCGGCCACGGUGAGGCUUUUUAGCUUGACUUUAUGGGUCUCUGAAUCUAGCCACCGCGGACCGCAUAAAAUGCUCCACGGCUGCGAUGGCUUCAUCGCGGUCCGUACAAAAUGCUCCGCGGACCGCACUGGCUUUAAUUGUCCAAACUACCAACUCUCUGAAUCCUCUCUCCACGGAUCGCAUGAAAUGAAUUGCGGUCGCGAAGAGGGUACUGCGGUCCGCACAAAAUGGGUUGUGGCCGCAGUGCUUGAGCUUCCAAAAUCUGCACCUCUCUGAAUCUCCUCACUACGGACCGCACUNNNNNNNNNNNNNNNNNNNNNNNNNAAAUGGAUUGCGGCCGCGGUGGGUCUGUUGCAACUGUGCUUUGACUUGUUCUUGGUACUUAUGCAUGUUUCACUCCUUUUUAGCUAAUUUUGACUACUUGUCACCUUUUUGACCAAACCCUGCAAGCAAGCACAACAUGUAAGUCUUUUGGGACUAUUUGUAUACAUUUUUAAUCAAAACUCAAGUAAAACGGAAAUGAACUAGAAUCCCUAAUUAUCACGGCCUCUCCUUCGCCGACAUGCUACUGCAUCUGCAGUCCCAACUGGUGGAACAUAUAUCGUCCAAUAACCUGCACAACAUGUAAAAUAUUAAUUUAGAAAUGGUAAUAUUAACGUUAUUACUAAGUAUUCAUUAAAUGGUAAUGUUACCAAAUAACAUACCAACGCCUCAUGCCUCCUGGCGUAUGGAACGAAUCGACCUCUAGCGUGAUGAACGGGAUUCCCGAAGAUAAGUCAAGUAAUGUUGUGGUACCAGCCGAUAUACGCAUGCUCAUAAUCCAUAAGAUGGGCUGGAGGGGGUGGUGGAAUCAGGUCAUGCCACUGGUCCCAACUCUCGAUCUGCGCCUCUAGCCGUGACUCAUAUGCCUGGUCAACCUUCGAACGAUCAUCCCGCUGGUAAUGAGUCCUAACCUAAGCGGGCGGUGGAGGUACAUACUGCGGUCGACCAAACUGGCGAAGGACUCGCUCGGUGGCAUGAUGCUCGACAAUAUCGAGACAUACGAACGGGGCGGAAGAACUCCACAUAAGUCGCCCGGUCGAGCAAUAAUCGGGAAAACUAGCUAUUAGCGCGUCGCUAUAGGGCGUCCAAAUGAACUAUCACGGAAAAAUAGGAACCGUGAGUAUACGCAACACAUAUAAAUCCAAUCCAAAUAAACUUUAAGUAUAGAAUUACAUGCACGUCCUCUAGCAUAUCUAACAAAUCUCUGCAAUACAGGAGAUUAUGUCGAGCCUCGUACUCGCGUCUGUAUCUCCGCCUCUCAACCCACCUCCUAGCCAAAGGGAGAAACGGUGGAAGUGGUGCAUCCUGAGCUAUGGGUGGUAGAGGUGGCUGAAACUGCAGGAACCGCUCCCAGGCCCAAACCUAAUAUACAAUUUGGACGUAAAAUUUAAGGUAUAUUUUUAUGAUGUAUGUUAUAAUGAAGAGAUUAUUUGUCUAUGUUUUCAUCUGCAGCAGCGGCAUAAAUCCUGCAACGUCUCGCUGGGUGCCCAUGCAUGCCCGACACAUAUGCCGGUCCAAGUAACCGUCAACGAAAUACGACUAGACCCAACCAAUACACCCUCAUCCUCUGGCCGGAAACCAGUGAGUCGCUGCAAAGUCUCCAAGUACUGAGCUCUCGUAUAAUCUCUCAUGCCUCGUGGCAAAGCAACAACAAGUCCAUCAACCAACAGCCCAUGGUUAAAUGGAAUAUAUGCGUCUCUGGUCGCCACCGCUCUAUCAAAGCCGUGAGCAGCGACCAAUCCAGCUGCAGUCGGCCAAUCUCAAUGAUCCUAUAAAAGCCCGUAUCCUGCAGGAGUCUGACUACAGGGGGAUGGAGCUGGCGUUCCUUAAGAAAGUCCCAGACAUCGUCUAUCCUCCUAGAACGUAAAGUUUGGGCCAAUAACUCCCUCUCCCAUAUGUAGGAAGACAUAUUCUCGGCAUGUAGCUGUAGUAGCUCUAGAGAGGCAGGUCCCGGAUGCAAAAGCGGAACCGCCAUGACGACUACUGUAAAUUGAACAAAAUUAAUUACAUUAUUUUUCUUUUCCACUGCUUAAAUAUAUUGCAAUACCUUGAAUAUUAAAUUUUAUUCGAUAUAUUUACUAUAUUGUUAAUUAGGUUGAUACAUUUUCAAUAUUAUACUUUUAUUUUUUUAUACGUUACUUUAAUAUGUUAGUUUUAUUAUUUUAUAUGUUUGUUAGUUAUUCACCUAUUUUUUUAGUACACAUGAUUUAAUUAUUAAAUAUUCAUAUUUUGGUUCCGGACACAAUAUUUUAGGCCCAGUAACACCAAUAUAUCCUGAAUUCUUAUGUUCAUGAUGAAAUUUUUUUUCCGAUUUUUCACUCAAUAGGUCUGUUAUUUUAUAUGUUAUGUUAUUAUUAUAUAUGUUAGUUUUAUUAUUUAAUAUGUUAGUUUAUUAUUGUAUAUGUUAGUUUUAUUAUUUAAUAUGUUUGUUAGUUAUUCACCUAUUUUUUACUACACAUGAUUUAAUUAUUAAAUAUUCACAUUUUGGUUUCGGACACUAUAUUUGAGGCCCAAUAGCACCAAUGUAUCUUGAAUUCUUAUAUUCAUGAUGAGAAUUUUUUUCCAAUUUUUCACUCAAUAGGUCUGUUAUUUUAUAUGUUAGUUUAUUAUUGUAUAAGUUAGUUUUGUUAUUGUAUAUGUUAGUUUUAUUAUUUAAUAUGUUAGUUUUAUUAUUUUAUAUAUUAGUUUUAUUAUUUAAUAUGUUAGUUUUAUUAUUUUAUAUGUUAGUUUUAUUAUUUAAUAUAUUACUUUUAUUAUUUAAUAUGUUAUUUAUUAUUGUAUAUGUUUAUUUGUUUGUUAUUGACUUAUUUUUUACUAUACUAAAAUUAAAUAAUUAAUUUUCAUAACUAUACAAGAUUUAAUUAUUAAAUAAUUACAUUUUGGUUCCAGACACAAUAUUUGAGGCCCGGUAGCACCAAUGUAUCCUGAAUUCUUAUGUUCUUACGUUUGUUCACUAUAAUUGGAGAUAAUUUAUGUUUGAAUAUCAGUUUUUUGACGUAUUUUUGAGAAUAAGAGAUACUUAAAUAAUUCAUUUCUAUAACUACAAGGAUACUACACUAAAGGGCACUACAUUUUACUAUGCUAAAAGGUCACUAUAUUACAAAUAUGAAUACUACAUUAGGCCACAAGAUACCACUACAGGGUACUAAAGUAAAAAUUUAUCUAGUUUACUAGUCUUUUAGCAAAUUAAUAAUCUAAGCUGGAUAAAAAUAACAAAUCAAUUUAAUCACAAAACAAUCAAGAAAUUACAUAUACCACAGUAAAAAGUAACUAAUCAAUAUUUUUUAACAACUAAUAACAAUUUCCCUAUUGUACAAAUUAUUUUAGCACACUAAUACUAUAAUCCGGAUAAAAAACAACAAAUUAAUUAAAUCAUAAAACAGUCACAAAAUAACAUAGAGCACAUAAAAAAUAACUAAUAUGCAUUUUUAUACAAGUUUUAUCAAAAACGAAAUCGAAAUACCUCAAUUUGAGGUUUUAGGAAAGUCGAAUAUUUUGUGAUUUUGAGCCGAAACAACCAACAGCGUCCAAGAUUACUCCUUAGCUAGCGCAUGGGACCGAGAAUCUAUACUUUAUGUGGGACGGGUGGGCUCCACUCAAGCUUUUAGUAUUUAAAAAUGGAGAAGAGGGGACCGUUCUGUUUCUCUUUUGGGGGAAGGGAAGAAGACGUUAUAUUAUAACGUCUUAAUAAAAGACGCUAUAUUUUUCCGCUUUUUUUUAAUUCAAAUAUAGCGUCUUUUUAAAAGACGCUAUAUAUACUUUGGUAACUAUUUUUUUGCACACCUUUCGGUCAUUUAAGUCAAAAGGAAUCACAUUUUUGUUCCGGAUUCCAUUGAAGAAUGAGUAAUGGAAGGCAGUAAAUGCCAUAUUCUCUAUAACGGACUAUGUACUUAAUGCAAUAGAAUAUUCUUCAUUAAAUGUCGCCGGGUGUCAGGGAUUUAUUUCGCCUUUAAGAUCAUCAUUCCCUUCGGGGUCAAGCGAGAUUGUCGUCUUCAGACCUGGUUGCCUUCUGCCUUCGGUUACACGUGUCGCUUUAUUAUGCUUGCAUUUAGUAUGAACAUAUUUUACCCUAUACAGCUAGUCCUCCUGCUUUCCGGUGGCACAUCUUUGUAUUUGUCACACCUCCUUUUUCUACCUACACCCCGGAAAGGGUAUAAGUAAAGGGAGUUUUUCCAAUUAAAGGACAAUCAAAACGAGAUUUAUUAUAAAGAUUCAGAGUCGCCACUUGGGAGAUUUAUGAUGUCCCAAGUCACAGGUUGAAUCCCGAAUCGAGGAAAAUAUUGACUCUGUUUAACAGUCCGCGAUCCAGAAAUCCGGGUAAGAAAUUCUGUUAACUCGGGAGAAGGUGUUAGGCAUUCCCAAGUUCCGUGGUUCUAGCACGGUCGCUCAACGGUUAUAUUCGGCUUGAUUAUCCAAUUUAAGAACUUAUGUGCAAAUUUAACCGUUUAACCACUUUUAUUUAAUUUUUAAAGAAGAUUGAACGUCGUUUAAAACAUAUCUUUGAAUCGCGCCACAUGAAAUGCACCCGCAAUUCUAAACAUAUUUUAUUCAACGUUUUGGGAUUUGAUUUGGGUCACAUGAAAUGCACACCCGAGUUUAAGAAGGUAAUAUUAUUAAACUAACGAGUCGAAAGUAAUUACGAAUUUGCAAUUUCGCUAGAGCCAUGAAAAUUCGCUAAAUGGCGUGCCUCGAAUUCUAAGGAUAAAAACGAAGUGGGUUAAAAUAAGGGCCAUGCACUUGAGAUUUCAUUUGGCAUGGCACGCUUCGAAUUAUUCUAAAAGGUUUUACUCAACUGAAGCAAACCACGGAUAUUCAUGAAUUAUUUUUCUAAGACUAGUUUGAAACUAUUAUGAGGCUAUAAAUUAUUAAGCCUGUAUUGUUCAGUUGCAGAACUAUCAACAAAACACCAUAAAACUAUAUAUAUGUAUCCCUAAAGCAAUGUUUAUUUACUAACAAUGACGAUCAGAAGAGUUAUGGCAAGAAUUAACUUCUUAUUACAUUUUUAAAAAGUAGCCACUAGAAGAAAAAGGAAAAUUAUAGACUAAAGUUCAAAUACGACAAUAACACUGCGAUUAAUCAAUAAACAAAUAGAAUGGAGAAAUCAGAUUAACUACAGACAAAAUAUUUCACUGUUCCAAAUCCACAAGAUGCCAAACUGCCAAAUUGAACCCCUCCAUUAACACCUAGCUAGAGUUAUAUCACAGUUCCUUUAGUAUUAGAAGACCAGAUCUCAUUAAGGACACAAAACGAACGUAGCAUUGAACAAAGCGUAAGCAGCAAAAGAGACGAUUGAAACAACAGAUCAAAUAAAGGAACGGACCUUCAAAAGAAAGCUUUCUUCAUUAAGAAUGAUCCUUCAGCAGACAUUUGCAGCGUCAGUUAUUUGACACGAACAAAGAUCGAAAUCGGCGCCGGAAACCUCAACAAACCUCGUCGUCACCUCGAAUUCAAACCGGAAUCAACCUCGGCUCAUCUCGUUGGACCUGGACUCGAACUCAGCUCUUGAAAGAAGGCGAGCGUGAAGAAAACGCCAGGUGAAGAAGACUGCGAUUUGGAUUUUGAAAUUUGAAUGACUGUAUUUUAGCGUUGAAAAGAAAGAGAGUUUUGGCUGCUUUGGUGAAAGAGAGUGGUGUGAGGUUAGGUCGUUUGGUAUCAAGCUUCGCCGGAAAUGGUAGCUUCGCGGUGAACGGAGGUCCAGCGACGAUGGUAAGCUGGGUGAGGUCGCUUGGUUCUAUUUGUCGCGUCUGGAACUCGUUAAUUCGACGAGCUGGUGGAGCUCGUUUUUCCGGCGAGUUUCAGACAGAGACGGGGUCGUUUGACGAUUAACGUUCAGGGGUCGUUGGUGUUUUGUCCGGCGAGCUGGGUUGACGGGGAGAUGUAGAGGGUCGGCGCCUGGGUGAUCGGCGUGAGGUCAGGCGCGGGGUGUGGUGAUUUUCGGCAAAGGGUCACUGUUUUUGGGUUGUUCUGCUGCGCAGCCUUUAGCUUUUUAGCCUUCCCAUUUCUUCGUUUCUUUCUUCGUUCAUGCGCAGCUUUUGUUCAUAUCCCCCCUCUCUGUUAGGUGUUAGCUUCUUAUAUAUACAUAGGUCUAGGUUAGUUUUGUAGGGUUUUUAGGUUAAGG
rnacentral:lncRNA from 1 species